UAUGACGUCAGGGCAUCCUCUCGCUGACAAUGAUGUCACACAGGUCUCUGGCAAAGCGCAAGGGCUCCGCGACGUCUAGAGCGGUAUCUCAUUUACGUACUUCCAUGACGUCACAUUGGGCCCCGCCUGGAGCGGAGACACUACUGCUCCUGUAUUUCCCGGUCCCACCCCUCGAACCCUGCCCAUAGACACGCCAAGAAUCGGUUCGUCCUCACGGACAGGAUCUGCAGACCCGAACCGUUGGAGGUGCCUUUAGUGAAGGCGGGUGCGCAGCGCCUCCGCUUCCGGGAUCUGGAGGCUCUGAAUGCUCUCCCAGCCCGCAGAGUUUCAGGGCACCAGAUGCCAUGGGAAUAUUCGCCCCGCCCUCCCGGAUGGGUCCUACCCACCCGCCUCCCCGCCCACUGCGCAGGCCCGGCGCGCAGGCGCAGAAGGAAGUCGUCGCCCUGAGCAGUGGUUGCUGGAGCGCGCUGCUCCGCGGAGGUUCCUGGCGGUCAGGUCGCUGCCGACUUCCGAGUCCCGCUUUCAGGGAUGACAAACUUGGGGUGACACUGGCCUGGCGGGCACACCUAGCCUUCGGCGUAUGUGAGAUGCCGACGAGGGAGAGGGCAGCUCCGGGUUAGUGCGGGCUGGAGCUCCUUGGAUUUCCUGUGGCGUCUCAAAUCCAGCGCAGCUGUGGUCAGACCGAGGUCCUUGGGAUUCGAGCCGGCAGGGAUGGUGUGACCGGGCCCUGCUCUAGACCAGAAAGUCCAGGGCGUCCCAGCCUUCUCGGGCGGGGGCUCUGAGGCAGAGGUCUUGGCCCCCAGUCAGGCGGAGCUCUUAGAGGCACACCUGCUUUACCCAUCCAGCCUGGCUUUCUGGGCCGCCUUCACAGCCAAACUGAUGGUUGGGCCCAGUUUGAAUAUGUUUUAGAUGAAAAAUUCACUACAGACAUGAGAUACUAGGAAGGGAUCAAACCUCAUGUCAGUGGCAGAGGAAGAAUUAGAAGCUUUAUUUCCUCUGAGGCCUGAAGAUCCUGUUUUGUCUAGCUUUUUCUGCUACUCACAAACUUUGGGCAAAGUCCCUACGCUUCUCUGAGCCUCAUAGUGGGGAUAAUACUCUUCCCACUUACCUCAAUCAGUUAAUGACAGGUCAAAGUCAUACAUACUUUCUCAGUAUUUUUUUUUUUUUUUACUGCUUAAACCAAAAUCUGGACCUUGAUGUGUUGCAGAACCACUUGGGCAUUUAUGAAGCACCCUGUCAGAGUAUUAUUAGAAAUACUUCUCAGCAUCCUGAAAUAGCCUGCUUCCCAAGCUGCCUUAUUCUUAGAAGAAUCUUCCUCCCAUCUUCACUAUAUUGUAACCCAGGGAUCCUGAAAUGGGAUGGAAGAAGGGUAUCUCACCUGGACUGGUGGCGUUCUUGAACCCUCCUGAACCUCCUGGAAAACUUGAAAGAAGCCUUUUUUAAAAAACUCUCUGGAGACAAAUGGAUUAAUCAGUUCACAGAUGAUCGUUAUGUUUGGUUGGGAGAGGAAGUCGGGUGACAAAAUUGCACAAGACAAAGACAAUGAGCCAGGAAGAAAUUCUGACUGUUGGGGCUAAGUUCUUGCUUUAAAUUCAGACUGCUUGAAGAAAGUCUGGAACCUCACAGGUGGCUGGGUCCUUAUGGAACUCCAGGGAAACUCCAAACCCAGGCCAUUUCCAAGGCAGCCUCUCUCCUCCCUCUGCUUUUAGGAGAGCCCAUCACUGCCUCUCUCUCCUGGGCUUCUCUAGGCUUGGAGCCAGCACCAGUCUCUGUGCCUUCAGACCCCAGAUCAAGCUCUCCAAACUGGAAUCCUGAAGCCUCCCACAGGAUUGUGUCACUAUCAGCUUCACUCCUAGAGCCGCUUCUGCUGCAUCCCAUAGAUUUUGGAUUAUCGUGCUUCCAUUUGCAUUCGCCUCCAGCUCCAAAUAACCCCGUGAUUUUGGAUGAUUGAUUAUGGGAAUGCUGCUUUUACUGUACAUCCAAGAGUCUCACAGACACGGCUCCCUCUGGCCUCAGUGGACAUCUGUGGGAGCCUGGUUUCCAUGGUGUCAGGAUAUGGAGGUCCAGGGAAUGAAGAGCCUCGGAGGAUGACGCCUGGAUUGUCGAGCUCUGGCCAGCCGCGCAAUUUGGCCAACCUUGCCAUCAAAAGCAAGAUGAAGAGCUCGCUUGUUUUCUCCUUCGCUGAGCUCCAGAGAUUUGAAGAUAUCAAUUGAUCCUGUCAGUUGCACCUGAAUAUUCUCUUUGUGGUUAGUGGAAGCCAUCCCAUUGUAAAGGAAAAACUGUAGCAUCGGAUAAUUGAACAGCUCGCCACUCCUCCAGCUCUAGUCGGAAGCCUAAGUUUAAAGUUGGGUGUAAAAAGCAUUAGGGAUACUCUCAAGGCAACGGGUUGCACGGGAGCUCUCAGGGCAGAGGGGGGCUGCCUACCAGACAAGGACGUACUAAAGGAGAAUCUGCAAUGGAUGUGAAAUCUGUACGAAGGGAAGCCUUCUGACACUUGGACUGCAAGUAUCUGGUGGGCUGCGCAGUGUGGAAAGAGCUUCUAAGACACACACUGACUCGGCUGGUCCUCUGCACAGUCCAGUGCUGGGCCUGGGGGAGGGGGUCCAUGAUGGCCUGCACCUUCCAGAUGACACCGAGGCUCCAGAGGGUCUACUGUGACAGAUCUGGGGUCACAAAGGGUGAGUUCUUUUCCCCCAAAUCCAUGCUCUUUCCACCUCCCUAUAGAAUCAUGUGCUUAUACCAGGCAUGAUCAAUGAUGAGGCAAAUACCCUAGAUUGCUAAGGUGGGGGCAGACCCCGCUUUCAGAAGGCCUGAGUGAGGGGCCAGUCUUCAGCCCGUCUCUAGUGUACACACUUAAGAAGUCUACUUCCCCUUUUUGGCCAGAUGCUCAAUUUCUGCACACACAAGAGGGGAGCCACCCCACCCUGCAGGUUCUCAGGCUGGUUAAGGGGCUGAAAUGAGAUGAGGGAGGCAGGUGGGGAGGCUCUCCUGCCGGCUGACCGACCGCACGGCGAUGCCCUGCUUCCCACGCCUGUGCCGGGAGCUGGCUCUCUCCUCAUGGCCUGGGCAAAAUACCCCUCAGAGGGACUGGACUCUCCCUCCCAGUCAAUCCAAAUAUUUAGCUUCAAGCCUGCCUCCGCUGUGCUUUGGCAAGAAGCGUUGGAGGAGGAGGCUGCUGCGAGGGGCGCUCCUUUGAAGCCCUGGGCGUCCUAGUCGUGUGGGGCCUGGGCCAAGCGGGUUGAGCUUUGAGGCCCGCAGCAGGGUUGAGACACUCUGGGGGCUGCUGACUUGGGCUGAGGGGACCCAGGGCCCAGAUCCCUGCACGGCCCUGGGCUAUGAAGGAGCUCUCUCAACUGAGAGCGGCCUCGCGCUCCUUCUCAGCCAGCCCUGGGGCCACCCCUCCCCGGGGCCUCUGCGUGCCCCGGGGAUCACUGGACUGCCCUGGAGGGUGCCAGGGGAUCUUGGCUCUCUCUCUCUCGAGAGAAAGGAUUUAUUAUUGAGCCCUGUAGUGGAUUUCUCGGGGUGCCCACUCACCGUCACUGCCAGUGAACUGCUUGGGCAGUGCUUGUAUACGCUUCUAGUCCCUGAAACUUUAGAUUCUGGAUUCUGUUUCUACUAGGAAACAUUGGACUCCUAAUAACUUAAAGCUGAUU